UCAUUAUGUAAUCAUUGAACCUGAUUAAAUGUGAUUACUGAUCUGUACAAAUAGGAAUAAAAACAGGAAUGUGCCUGAAAACUAAAUUAUUCCAACUUUAUGGGCAACAGUGCAGUAACAUAGCCAAAAAUAAAAGUGAGUCACAUUUGACAUCUUGGGUACAAGCCUAAUUUUUUUUAUUAUAAGAUCAUAUUAAUACUUUUUUAAUCUUUGUGUAUGGACCUUGUGUUUUUUCUAUAUGUCAGUCCUCAUUCCACUUCAGACAGGCUUCUUUUCUCGUCAUCCUCUGGUUUCCUCUUCUCACCUCUUUGCUAAAAAGUGAAAGUGUCUAAUCUGUUUGGCAUCGAGGUACUGAUGUUUUGCCAAAUCCAGAAACAGGUGACAGCUCUCAUUCACAACGUUCUUUGUUUGAGCAGAAGAUCUUAAACUGAAGGCUGGGACGCUUUAAGGACACCGAAGGAGUUAGAGUUUAACAGUUGUACUGCCGUGUAAAAUCCAUCUGAAUUCAAAUGUGGUUUAUCUUUAAAGAUUUAUUUUAUUAGCAGGCAUCAUUCAGCUGCUCAGACUGACCUCGACUCCAGAGAAAGUUCAACACUGUCUGGCUGUCAUGUUUGCUUCUUCGCAUUUGCACCUUUAACAUUUGUUUAAGCAAAUACAGCCCAUAGACAGUGUGAAGCUCCUUAUGUAAACCAGGCCUGAUCUGUUCCACCAACAUGUAAAGGUACUUGGAGAACUCCAUGAAGUCCAGCCCAUCAUCUUUGUCCUGGUCUCCAGAGGAAACAAUUUUCUAAAAUGGAAAAAAAACAAAAACAAAACAGAAAUAUUAGCAUAAAGACAAAAGAUUAGAAGAAACUUGCUUUAGUUUUCAGGCGUCUGACCUUCUCAGUAGAUUGAAGGAGAGGUUUGAGUUCUGCUCUGAGCUGAAGUUCAUCUGCAUCUGAGUAUCGUGUCCUCAUAUUGACUCUAAAUCUAAACAGUUCUGGUGUCAUUUUAUUUUGUUCUGGCAUGGAUAACACCAUUUCCCUUUGACUUAUGUGUUUUUGUUAAUUUACUUCUGAAAGUGUUGAAUUAAUACAGAUUCUGUUUUUUUUUUUAACAGAUACAAUCCCAUAUCAGUUAGAUAACUUUCUACAGUUAAUAUUUUAAGAUCAGCCUCUCAAAAUGAACCCUGAUCCUACAAUAGUACAUUCUUCAAUUAUUUAGAUAUAUUUGUUUUGUAUGUGUUUUAAUUGAAAUGACAAACAGUAAAAAAAAAAAAAACAAAACAAAAAACACUACAAUGGUGGUAGUGAGAAAAGUCUUGAACAGGAGAAUAUUUUGAGAAUCCCAGUCAAAAGUGAUGUGGAUAAAUAAGGACAUAUGUCACAGUGAAUAAUAUUAUUUUUAGGAAUAUUGUAUACAUUUACCUUCUUUGGGAUAUAUGAGCUGAAUAGAUAUGCAGAUUAUUUUAACAUCAUCACAAUGUCUAAUAUUAAUGGCAACCCUUUAAAAUAUCCUCAUCAAUGCCACAGACAUUUUCAAGGUUUAAUUACUGUAUUUUUUUUUUUUCUUCACUAUUUUUAUCAUUUUAACUUAGUUUACUAAGUUUUCCACUGUCCAACUGUGGUAACCUUUGCAGUUGUUAUUCCCAUGUCUUGUUUCAUGCUUUUACUGCCUCAUCUUCUGUUUAUAUUUGUUGUUUUAUUUCAUGUACAUACUUCUGCACCAUUGAAAAUAAGGGUUUUCCUUAAUGUGCUUUCUGAGGGUUUAAAUAAUGAAUGAAUGAUGGAUUUCUAGACAUGGUACGUGGUGUGAAAAGUUUGUGAAGGAAUAUUUAAA